GCAUAUCAAUAAGCGGAGGAAAAGAAACUAACAAGGAUUCCCCUAGUAACUGCGAAGUGAAGCGGGAAAAGCUCAAAUUUAAAAUCUGGUGGUCUUUGGCCCAUCGAAGUUGUAAUCUAGAGAAGUGUUAUCCGCGCUGGACCGUGUACAAGUCUCCUGGAAUGGAGCGUCAUAGAGGGUGAGAAUCCCGUCUUUGACACGGACUACCAGGGCUUUGUGAUGCGCUCUCAAAGAGUCGAGUUGUUUGGGAAUGCAGCUCAAAAUGGGUGGUAAAUUCCAUCUAAAGCUAAAUAUUGGCGAGAGACCGAUAGCGAACAAGUACCGUGAGGGAAAGAUGAAAAGAACUUUGGAAAGAGAGUUAAACAGUACGUGAAAUUGCUGAAAGGGAAACGCUUGAAGUCAGUCGCGUUGUCUGGGGAUCAACCUUGCUUUUGCUGGGCGUACUUUCCAGAUGACGGGUCAGCAUCAAUUUUGACCGUUGGAUAAAGAUUAGAGGAAUGUGGCAUCUUCGGAUGUGUUAUAGCCUUUGGUUGUAUACAACGGUUGGGAUUGAGGAACUCAGCACGCCGCAAGGCCGGGUACUUGUACCACGUUCGUGCUUAGGAUGCUGGCAUAAUGGCUUUAAUCGACCCGUCUUGAAACACGGACCAAGGAGUCUAACAUGCCUGCGAGUAUUUGGGUGGUAAACCCGAGUGCGUAAUGAAAGUGAAAGUUGAGAUCCUUGUCAUGGGGAGCAUCGACGCCCGGACCAGACCUUUUGUGACGGAUCUGCGGUAGAGCAUGUAUGUUGGGACCCGAAAGAUGGUGAACUAUGCCUGAAUAGGGUGAAGCCAGAGGAAACUCUGGUGGAGGCUCGUAGCGAUUCUGACGUGCAAAUCGAUCGUCAAAUUUGGGUAUAGGGGGCGAAAGACUAAUCGAACCAUCUAGUAGCUGGUUCCUGCCGAA
rnacentral:rRNA from 1 species